GGUAAGGAUGAUCUACUGUUCUAUUGGGGAGGCUAACGGAAUCUAACACCACAAAGGAUGUUCAACCCGCACCUAUAAAUCCUAUACUUCCUGCUAACGAGAUAUGGUCUGCAAAGGUAACUCGGAAUUAUCACGUCCUCACUACUACCACGGUCUAGCUGGUCAGGGAAUAUCUAUGAGUACCCCAGCCUAAACACCACGUUUACGCCAGCAAUGAUUACUCUAAACUCUACGUGAAGAGAUUAAACUAAACUCAUAAACCAGAAGAACAAUAAAACAAGAACUUACUAGAAUUUAGAAGUCAAAAUACUGAAGAAUCCUAGGAGCAAGCUUCGGGUUAGGAGAACUUGAUCCCGCAGGUACAAGCUUGGAGUAGACACCAACAGGCCGGGCUUCCUCCAAUCUACACCUCCACUCUAUCUCUCUCAAUCUAGUAGAAACUAGAAGAUCUAUUUCUACUUUACAUUGGUUGCUAAGCCUAAAAAGAAAUAUUAUUUAGAGAAGAGGUUUUCCUUCGAGGGCACCCCUCAAUCUCUAUGAUAAUUCCUUAUCUUCUCCAGGGGCCAGGGGGUCUCCUUAUAUAGUGCUCCUCCUCUAUGCGUUUUUGGGUUGGUAGGCGAGGUGGUACUACAUUAUCUUUGAUCCAUUAGGUCAGUGGAACAUCGUGUGCGAAGAGAGUCCCGAGCGGAAUCCAACAGGGGGCGGGCGCCCUGGGCCUGGCCCCUUUCGGCCUCUACUUCGUUCUCGUGGCUUCUAGAGUCUUCUAGAUGGUAGAAAAUCGCGCGGUGCGUUGAUAUCUCUAUGUAAUCCCGAUAUGUGGGCCUUUCUUCCUUAUUUCCUGAUAACCCCCUGCAGAGACGGAUAAACAACAAAACUCGUGGAAUUUUGUCAGAUCAAACCCUAAUUCUAGGUGUUGGUUGCAUAUUGGUCCUUUCUCUUGUUUAUUUGAUAAUUAAAAUUGAUACUUAAGAACCAUCAACAAAUACCCCCAUACUUAGGCUUUUACUCGUCCUCGAGAAAAGGAUGGUUAAGAACAAUACUUGGGGUAAAACAUUCUAAAACAUUCUUUAUAUUUGCAGGGUAUUAAAAUCCACUAUGUACUAGUCAGGGAUGUAUAUGAUUAAGAGUAAAGAUCCUUUCUUCUCAAUCCUGUUACUUGGAGUUUUUGUAUAAUUUUGAAAGAAAGCUAGCAUACCUUUUUAUCCUCAUAGGUUCUCUCAAAUCACUCAUUAUCUUUUAUAUAUUUCACUGAGGCUAUUUUAAUUUGCAAAAAUUCUUAAGCAUACUUACUUUGCAUUUGUUGCCUGAUCAAAACGGGAUCCGAGGAGGGGAAUGUCAUACUCUUAGAUCAAAGACUUUGGAAAUUAAAACUUUGUUAACUCUUGCUGGCAUAUUGCAUAUUAGAGGGACCAUGGGCUAUCAUUUUCUCUUUUUUCUUUUUUUUAAGUGGAUAGCGAGGUAUCCUUAAUUCUACUGCCGGACACUUGUCCAUUUUUUCUGCGAGGUUGUCGAGCACUUGCUCCUUUUUAUUUCCUCGAAAAUAUCUUUAUUUUUGCAUAGCCCAUGCCUCUAAUGCAAUAAUACUUCGGAAGAGUGAAUCUUUCUGAAUAAGUGUCUUCAUCUUAGGAGCAUGAUAAAUCUCUCAACAAGAGUCUAACUCAUUUUGAACAAACUUAAUACAGAGUAGAUAGCUUUUAUAAUCAUAAUUAAUAUUUUUAGUUUUAUCAGGCAUAUAAAACACUGAGGAUGGUAGCUAGAAUUUUAAAGAUUUUGAAAUACAUUCUCCAAGUAAUAAUGAUAUCAAGAAUAAGAAACUCAUACUCUACCAUCACAUAUUCCAUAUUGACUUAAGUAACACAGGGUUUUAAAAUAAUUUUAAUAGUUGCAAGUUUUAGGAAAUAUCACAGAGUGAGAUUAAUCAUUAUUAGAAAUAUUUUUAUCUUUUUAAUUUAUCAUGUCGGAAACAGUAUUCUGCAUAAUCAAGAUAUGUGUAUGUGUAAAGUAAAGUGUGCAGAGUGUGUACCUGAAUCGUGGAGUGGUGUAGUCGGAGUGUUUUUGGCAUGUUGAGGGAUCUCCCCCAUACUUGUUUUCUGCUUUCUUGCACAAAAAUAAAGUAGAGACACACGAGACAUAAUAAUAAUAAUAAUACUGUUUCUUAAUCUUGAGGCAUUUAUUACAAAUGACUAGUAGUAAACUGAUAGCAAUAGUAACAAACUGAUAAUAAUAGUAAACCUAAACCGAAUUUAAAGAUAGAUAACUAGGAUGCAUUGCCUCAAGGUCUAAUCUAGGUAACUCAGCGGCGUUCUAACUCCUUAAUCUUCUUAUUGGCACUGGCAAGAUCCUGCCUAAGGCCUAGUAUAAUGGUGUUGUGGUUAGAGAGCUACCUAGUGAGGGAAUUAAUCGAGGACUGGAGGUCUAUGAUAAUUCUGUCUAGUCUGCGAACGUCCUCAUCAAUAUCCAUUAUAGUCUUGCGACGCUUGGGAGGUGUCUCAAAAGCAUUGAGAGCGUGCUUCGGGGCUGCCUUUGGAGGGAUGAAACGGACUUUGGCUGCUCUAAUCCCUUCGAAGUAAGGCCUUUCCUCCUCCGUAGUGUAGCGAAUACUGCUGAUCUCGCCGCUCCGGUUGGUCUUGACUUGAAUGACCCUCUCAUUGGGUCUUGGUGGAAGGAUCCUUGUGCCGGUUGGCACCUUGAUGGUGGUCUUCGUCUUGGAUGAUGAUCCUUUGAGGAGUAGGAGUUGUGGCGGUGUGGUGAGAACUGGUUGAGCAUGGUUGGCGUAAUGGCAUGACUUCUAUCUGUCGCUCUAUGUUGGCCUAGACGAGAGUACGGGCAUCAGGGUCUUCCACAGGCUCCAUGUUGAGGUUGAAGGGGACGACUUCCCAAUCAUCGUGGAACUUCUCGGCC
rnacentral:lncRNA from 1 species